rnacentral:rRNA from 1 species
AUUGAACGCUAGCGGCAGGCCUAACACAUGCAAGUCGAACGAGUGGCGGACGGGUGAGUAAUGUCUGGAAAACUGCCCGAUGGAGGGGGAUCACUACUGGAAACGGUCGCUUAUACCGCAUACCAUCGGAUGUGCCCAGAUGGGAUUAGCUAGUAGGUGGGGUAAAGGCUCACCUAGGCGACGAUCCCUAGCUGGUCUGAGAGGAUGACCAGCCACACUGGAACUGAGACACGGGCCAGACUCCUACGGGAGGCAGCAGUGGGGAAUAUUGCACAAUGGGCGCAAGCCUGAUGCAGCCAUGCCGCGUGUAUGAAGAAGGCCGUCGGGUUGUAAAGUACUUUCAGCGGGGAGGCGUUACCCGCAGAAGAAGCACCGGCUAACUCCGUGCCAGCAGCCGCGGUAAUUC